UGUGCCUCUCGCAGCCCUCGAACCCUGGGGAGCUGGAGCUGCCUCGAGUGCACCUCAAGGAUGGGGAAUUCACCUGCCGAGCUCAGAACCCUCUGGGCUCCCGGCACGUCUCCCUGAGCCUCUCCCUGCAGAGGAAAUCGGGGUCCGUGGCAGAGGUGGCUCUGGUGGCCGUCGUGGAAUCUGCUGUGAAGAUCCUGCUUCUCUGCCUCUGCCUCAUCUUCCUCAGAGUGAGGUCCUGCAGGGGGCAGGCGGCUCGAGCAGCAGGGGGCGUGGAGGAUGCAGAC